ACCAGCAUGGUACAGUGGCUAGAGCAUUGGACUAGGACUCAGGAAAUGGGGUUCAAAUCCCCAUUCAGUCA